GGAAAAGGGAGAGACUGAUUCAGAUCAAAGUUGGAUUUGGGUAGAAAUCCACACUCUACUGCUGCCAUCUAUGUGACGCUGGAAAAGUCACUUAACUUCUCUAAGGCCUCAAGCUUUUCUGAUCUGGAAGAUGAAGAGAAAAAUAUCGACCUAUUAGUGCUCCUGUGAAGGUUAAUUAAGAUGCAUGCAAAGCCACCAGGUCAGUGCCUGGCUCCUAGUAAACACUUAACAAAUUGUCACUCUAACUUUUUAUUUUUCCUUUUAGUUAUAUUAAUCUUUUUUCCUCCCUUUGAACAGGCAAUUCUAUUGUCAGAAUGAAGUGAAAUUCAUUCAAUGGGCAGAUGCACUCAUUAAACACUCACAUAUAUGUACAUACAUGGGUAAAAGCACUGAAAUAUAUAUUCACAUGCACGCAUGUCCCCAGGAAACACUGGCUUGCAAUCACACUGUAUGAAAAUUUUAUAACCGUUAUAUUAAAAGAAAGUCAUAUGAUAUAGAUACAUAAUUUCAUGCACUUAAACCUGUUUUUCUUUCAAAACUACCUAGAUAAAAG
rnacentral:lncRNA from 10 species